rnacentral:rRNA from 1 species
GACGAACGCUGGCGGCGUGCCUAAUACAUGCAAGUAGAACGCACAGUUUAUACCGUAGCUUGCUACACCAUAGACUGUGAGUUGCGAACGGGUGAGUAACGCGUAGGUAACCUGCCUGGUAGCGGGGGAUAACUAUUGGAAACGAUAGCUAAUACCGCAUAAUAUUAAUUAUUGCAUGAUAAUUAAUUGAAAGGUGCAAUUGCACCACUACCAGAUGGACCUGCGUUGUAUUAGCUAGUAGGUGAGGUAACGGCUCACCUAGGCGACGAUACAUAGCCGACCUGAGAGGGUGAUCGGCCAAACUGGGACUGAGACACGGCCCAGACUCCUACGGGAGGCAGCAGUAGGGAAUGUUCGGCAAUGGACGAAAGUCUGACCGCGCAACGCCGCGUGAGUGAAGAAGGUUUUCGGAUCGUAAAGCUCUGUUGUAAGAGAAGAACGGGUGUGAGAGUGGAAAGUUCACACUGUGACGGUAUCUUACCAGAAAGGGACGGCUAACUACGUG